UACGUAGGGGGCAAGCGUUGUCCGGAAUCAUUGGGCGUAAAGCGCGCGUAGGCGGCCCGGUAAGUCCGUUGUGAAAGUCAAAGGCUCAACCUUUGAACGCCGAUGGAUACUGCCGGGCUAGAGUCCGGAAGAGGCGAGUGGAAUUCCUGGUGUAGCGGUGGAAUGCGCAGAUAUCAGGAGGAACACCAAUAGCGAAGGCAGCUCGCUGGGACGGUACUGACGCUGAGGCGCGAAAGCGUGGGGAG
rnacentral:rRNA from 1 species